AUACAGAGGGUGCAAACGUUGUUCGGAAUUACUGGGCAUAAAGCGCACGUAGGCGGCCAGGUAAGUGUGAAGUGAAAGCCCACGGCUCACCCGUGGAACUGCUUUGCAUACUGCUUGGCUAGAGGAAGGUAGGGGAGAGCAGAACUCUUGGAGGAGCGGUGAAAUGCGUAGAUAUCAAGAGGAAUACCAGUGGCGAAGGCGGCUCUCUGGUCCUUCUCUGACGCUGAGGUGCGAAAGCUAGGGUAGCGAACGGGAUUAGAAACCCCAGUAGUCC
rnacentral:rRNA from 1 species